AACUAAUGAUGUUCAUUAAAAGAGUAGUGGACAGAAUUGAUUUCUGAAACUGCUUCACUGAGGUU